UCUCCAGUGGCUCAGCAGUAAAGAAUCUGCCUGCAAUGCAGGAGAGCCCAGGUUUGACCCCUGGUUGAGAA
rnacentral:tRNA from 1 species